GUAAGAGACAGAAAGGAAAAAAGGUCCGUUUUUUCAUUUUCUGAGACCGGAAGUAGUCAUCAGCAAGUGUGGAGCCAAACGACAACAAGAUUCUCAGAGGGCGGAGCCAGAGAGCAGUGAUUGGUCAGACCAUAGAUAAUAUAGAAGACAGCGCGCUAGCGUAUCUAGUCUGUGUAUAUCUAUGGUCGGCAGGUCUGGUAGCAUCUGUGGCUGCUGUUGAUCUUGUUUUUGGAGUAAAACACGAUGUUCAGAGGGAGAUGAUGCCACAUCUGGUCCAGCUGAUGGAAGGUCUUGAAGUUCUCUGACUGGCCUCGACUGAAGAUGGUCGUCUCACUGGAUUUAAGGUUCAGAUGCUCAGUAACAAACUCCACCAAUGAGCCAACAGGGAAGCUAUGCACAAGGAGGGACGUCUGCAGAGACUGAGAAAGAGUCUCACCACAUCCUGACAUGAGGAAAAAGACUUUAUUGAAGACUACAAUGAGAAAAACUAUCAGACAGCAGACGGCUGCAUUCAAGAGAGGAAGACCAUCAAACAUCCACGUCAGCUGAUGGAGGUCCAAGAGUCUCACCAAACAACCAACCUACAGAGUGAAGACCUCAAAUCUGAUUGGACGGCCUCCUAUUCAGCCACAUGUGUGAACAAAUGCCUCUAAGUUGAUUUGUUUUCUAAAAUAAAUCUAGUUUGAGUCCUAAUCGAUGCCUGUGUUUGCUUCUUUACACUGCUGUUAACAGUUUAGGCUGUUAGAUUGUUCCAGAUAAGACAAGUACAAGAUUCUUCAGAGCUGUUCUACCACGAGCCUGACAGGAAGAACUCCAACAGCUACUGAAUGUUCCUGUGGUCCCCUCAAGGCUACAGGAGGAGUCCUACGAGGACGAGUCGGUCCACCUGAUGCAGGCCAGUCACUGCUGUUCAAAGCCAACACAGACUACGUGGACUUCUACUGGACCACAUGGAGGCCUUCAAACCGGACCAACAAGUUCACCGACUCCCCGACUCGUGGGUCUGAGGACGCUGCCGAGCCUCGGUCCAGCCGGCCUCCUGUCUGUGGAUGUUUGAGUGCUGAGAGGUUUGUGGAUGCAUGUGAACAUUCUGUGUUGAAACAGCAGCUUUUAACUCAGUAACGCCAGGAAAAACCAAGAGCUCCUUUAUUUGUGACUUCCACUAAAAAAUUGAUGAAAAUAAGUUUGCCAGGGUUCUGACUGAUAACGGAUUAUUAAAUAAUGAAAGUAAUCGUUUAAAUAUUCCUUUAAACAGUCCUUUUAGGUCUACAUUUCCUUUACACUGACUUCUUGGUACAUGUACAAGUAUUUUGGGUGGAAUAUACCAUUAAGCCUGAUGUUCAAGGGUUCUUCUGGGAAUAUACCAUUAAACCAACAUUUUAGGUAAAUGUUCCAGGAUGUUGGGUAGAAUAUACCAUCAGAUCAACCUUUUAGGUCUACAUUGGAAGAUUUUGGAGUAGAAUAUUACUCCAAACCAUCCUUUAGGUCUACAUUUAAGGUGGAAUACUCCUUUACACCAAGAUUUUUUGGUCUAAGAUUUUGGAUGGAAUACUCGGUUAAACCAACAUUUUAGGUGCAUGUCCAAGGAUUUUUGGUGGAAUGUUCCUUUAAGGUGGAUGUUUGAGGACCUUGUAGGUGGAAUACUUCCUGAAACCAACCUUUUAGGUCAACAUUCAAAGAUUUAAGGUGGAAUAUUCCUUUAAAUCAACCUAAAUUUCAUAUUUUGUUCAUUAUCAAGUGAGAAACCUCAAUCCAGACUCCUCAUAAUGACGUUUGAGAUUUAUGCUGCUGUUAUUUGUUUAGUCCAGACUAAAUGACAGAAAUCCACAACUGUAAUUUAUUUCAGGACUCGGUUAUUAAAUGUCAAAACAAUCCAUGUGACUCUAAAAACUCAACAGCUGUACAAACUCUAAGAUUAAACUCUCUACAAGGAUCCAAAAUAAGUUGGACUUCUACAUGAGAGCUUUAAUUAUUCUUCAUCUACUUCCUGAAAAGUUUGGUCAAUAAAAAAGACAAAAACUAAUAUUUUCAGCUGAACUAAAGACAGACUGUGAU
ensembl:lncRNA